GAAUCUAAACAAAGGUUCAUAGUCAUCCUAAGGCCCUAAGGCAACUAUAUAGUCCAUUAAAUGAAUGCAAAGGUUAUGAUAGUAGUAUCAUAUACUCUUGCUUUAAAAAACCGUUUUAUAAGCAUAGUGGGAGUAUUAUAUACAACUAAAACAAUCCAAUGGACCAAUAGUUGUAAUAGGACCAAAAUUGUUUUAAUAGAGAUUAAAAUGUAUAUUUGUAUGUGAUGAGACCUAAAACCCUCAACCAAACCAUUAUUAAGUUGAUAAGCGUGAGAGUGCUUAGAACACUCUUUCGUAGGCCUUCCACCGUGGUGGCUCCAAUCGUUUAUGACUUGUACACCGGCUUCACCCUAU
rnacentral:lncRNA from 1 species